GAUGGACGCUAGCGGGAGGCCUAACACAUGCAAGCCGAGCGGUAUUGUUUCUUCGGAAAUGAGAGAGCGGCGUACGGGUGCGGAACACGUGUGCAACCUGCCUUUAUCUGGGGGAUAGCCUUUCGAAAGGAAGAUUAAUACUCCAUAAUAUAUUGAACGGCAUCGUUUAAUAUUGAAAGCUCCGGCGGAUAGAGAUGGGCACGCGCAAGAUUAGCUAGUUGGUGAGGUAACGGCUCACCAAGGCGAUGAUCUUUAGGUGGCCUGAGAGGGUGAUCCCCCACACUGGUACUGAGACACGGACCAGACUCCUACGGGAGGCAGCAGUGAGGAAUAUUGGUCAAUGGGUGCAAGCCUGAACCAGCCAUCCCGCGUGAAGGACGACUGCCCUAUGGGUUGUAAACUUCUUUUGUAUAGGGAUAAACCUACCCUCGUGAGGGUAGCUGAAGGUACUAUACGAAUAAGCACCGGCUAACUCCGUGCCAGCAGCCGCGGUAAUACGGAGGGUGCAAGCGUUAUCCGGAUUUAUUGGGUUUAAAGGGUCCGUAGGCGGACUUAUAAGUCAGUGGUGAAAGCCUGUCGCUUAACGAUAGAACUGCCAUUGAUACUGUAAGUCUUGAGUAUAUUUGAGGUAGCUGGAAUAAGUAGUGUAGCGGUGAAAUGCAUAGAUAUUACUUAGAACACCAAUUGCGAAGGCAGGUUACCAAGAUAUAACUGACGCUGAGGGACGAAAGCGUGGGGAGCGAACAGGAUUAGAUACCCUGGUAGUCCACGCCGUAAACGAUGCUAACUCGUUUUUGGGCUUUAGGGUUCAGAGACCAAGCGAAAGUGAUAAGUUAGCCACCUGGGGAGUACGCUCGCAAGAGUGAAACUCAAAGGAAUUGGCGGGGGCCCGCACAAGCGGUGGAUUAUGUGGUUUAAUUCGAUGAUACGCGAGGAACCUUACCAAGACUUAAAUGGGAAUUGACAGCUUUAGAAAUAGAGCUUUCUUCGGACAAUUUUCAAGGUGCUGCAUGGUUGUCGUCAGCUCGUGCCGUGAGGUGUUAGGUUAAGUCCUGCAACGAGCGCAACCCCUGUCACUAGUUGCCAUCAUUCAGUUGGGGACUCUAGUGAGACUGCCUACGCAAGUAGAGAGGAAGGUGGGGAUGACGUCAAAUCAUCACGGCCCUUACGUCUUGGGCCACACACGUAAUACAAUGGCCGGUACAGAGGGCAGCUACACAGCGAUGCGAUGCAAAUCUCGAAAGCCGGUCUCAGUUCGGAUUGGAGUCUGCAACUCGACUCUAUGAAGCUGGAAUCGCUAGUAAUCGCGCAUCAGCCAUGGCGCGGUGAAUACGUUCCCGGGCC
rnacentral:rRNA from 1 species